rnacentral:rRNA from 1 species
AUGAAGGAGGUUAGUUUUUACCUGAGGGGCAACGGCGGCCACCGUGGUCUUGCUGGAGCCUCGCUUACAGUCGAAAGUCAUCAGCUUCAGGGAGUGCCAGCACAGCCAAAAUAUACGCCACCUUCCACGGGGAGCAACAGCAGCAACUGCGAGGAUUUGGCUAGCCGAUACGAGCAACGGCGGCGACAUACCCGCUUCCGCAGCUCCGAGCUGCUGGUCCGCCGAGAUGCACAUGGAGCCAGCGAGCCGUUGUGCCUCCAAUCUGCCGGGCCACCGAGAUGCAGAUGUAGCCGCAGCGCCUCCGAGCUGCAGCGAGAGCCGCUCCGCCGUCAAGCUGCAGAGUGA